UCCAAAUUUUGACCUUAAUGUACUUUUUCGGGCCUUUUCGUGAUCUUUGCUAUAUUACGGGGCGAAAAUUAUAUGUUCGGACAUUGUUUUCGAAUAUUUUGGAUGUAUCAAAGCUCUUAUAAACAAGAUAGGGUAUUCCUACAUAGCUGGUGGGACCCACGGCAAAUGGAUCAUAAAGUCUUCAAAAAAGAAUAGAUACGAUUGCAUUGCAUGUAGUAACGGAUGCGAUCAUACCAGCACUAAUGCACCAGAUCCCAUCAGAACUCCGCAGUUAAGCGUGCUUGGGCGAGAGUAGUACUAGGAAGGGUGACCUCCCGGGAAGUCCUCGUGUUGCAUCCCUCUUUUUUCUGGUUUUCUCUUUUUUUUUUGUUAAAAAUGUAUGACUCUAUAACUUUUAGACCGUGAGGCCAAACUUGGCAUGUGAUACCUUUUCGGAAAGCCCAAAGAGAGCUCUCCGAUGAAUGAGGAAGGAAAAUGGAAUUCUUCUAUUGUUUUUUUUUCUAC
rnacentral:rRNA from 1 species